UUUCCGUAGGUGGACCUGCGGAAGGAUCAUUAAUGAGUUGUCAUGGGGUUCGAUGCUGGCAGCCAAUUUUUGGAUGCAUGUGCUUGCCCUAACAAUCAUCUUCCAAACACCUGUGCACAUUUUUGAGGGAGUCUUGAGUUGGUUGCCGCUCUUGGGUGAUUUUCUCACAUUCCCUUAAAUCAUUAUACGCUAUUAACAAUGUUGAACGUGCUCUGUGCCGCAAGGCUAUUAAUAUAAUACAACUUUUAACAACGGAUCUCUUGGCUCUC
rnacentral:misc_RNA from 1 species